GUGAGUCAUGGAGUCUUUGAACGCACCUUGCGCUCUCUGGUAUUCCGGAGAGCAUGCCUGUUUGAGUGUCAUGAACUCUUCAACCCACCGGUUCCUUGUUGGAUCGAGUUGGUGUUUGGAUCUUGAGCGUUUGCUGGCUUACUUAGUUCUUCGGAAUUAGGAAAAAGCGUAGCUCGUUCGUAAUACAUUAGCAUCUCAAUUACGAAACUCGGAUUGACUCAGCGUUAUAGACUAUUCGCUGAGGACAUGAGCAAUCAUGGCCGAAUUAAGUCAACUAGAAGCUUCUAAUCCCCCACUAGUCAAAACUAUAAGAUUAGACCUCAGAUCAGGCAGGAUUACCCGCUGAACUUAAGCAUAUCAAUAAGCGGAGG
rnacentral:rRNA from 1 species